GAUGAACGCUGGCGGCGUGCUUAACACAUGCAAGUCGAGCGAACGGACGAGAUGCUUUCUUCUCUGAUGUUAGCGGCGGACGGGUGAGUAACACGUGGAUAACCUACCUCCCCGACCGGGAUAAUUUCGGCAAACCGGAGCUAAUACCGGAUGAUAUUUUGAACCUCACGGUUCAAGAGUGAAAGACGGUCUUGGUUUCAGUUAUAGAUGGAUCCGCGCUGCAUUAGCUAGUUGGUAAGGUAACGGCUUACCAAGGCAACGACGCAUAGCCGACCUGAGAGGGUGAUCGGCCACACGGGAGCUGAGACGCGACCCAGACUCCUACGAGAGGAAGCAGAAGGGAGUCUUACGCAAUGGGCGGGAGCCUAGCGGAGCAACGCCGCGUGAGUGAUGAGGGUCUUCGGAUCGGGGAACUCUGUUGUUAGGAGGGAAGAAAUGUGUAAGUAACUGUGCGCAUCUUGACGGUACCGGAUGAAAAAGCCCCGGCUAACUACGUG
rnacentral:rRNA from 1 species